rnacentral:rRNA from 1 species
GAUGAACGCUGACAGAAUGCUUAACACAUGCAAGUCAACUUGAACUUCGGUUUGGGUGGCGGACGGGUGAGUAACGCGUACAGAACUUGCCUCACAGCUAGGGACAACAUUUGGAAACGAAUGCUAAUACCUGAUAUUAUGAUUAUAUGGCAUCGUAUAAUUAUGAAAGCUAUAUGCGCUGUGAGAGAGCUUUGCGUCCCAUUAGCUAGUUGGGGAGGUAACAGCUCACCAAGGCGAUGAUGGGUAGCCGGCCUGAGAGGGUGAUCGGCCACAAGGGGACUGAGACACGGCCCUUACUCCUACGGGAGGCAGCAGUGGGGAAUAUUGGACAAUGGACCGAGAGUCUGAUCCAGCAAUUCUGUGUGCACGAUGAAGUUUUUCGGAAUGUAAAGUGCUUUCAGUUGGGAAGAAAAAAAUGACGGUACCAACAGAAGAAGUGACGGCUAAAUACGUG